rnacentral:rRNA from 1 species
GAGUUUGAUCCUGGCUCAGAUUGAACGCUGGCGGCAUGCCUUACACAUGCAAGUCGAGCGGCAGCACGGGAGCUUGCUCCUGGUGGCGAGUGGCGAACGGGUGAGUAAUGCAUCGGAACGUAUCCUGGAGUGGGGGAUAACGUAGCGAAAGUUACGCUAAUACCGCAUAUUCUGUGAGCAGGAAAGCGGGGGACCUUCGGGCCUCGCGCUCUUGGAGCGGCCGAUGUCGGAUUAGCUAGUUGGUGAGGUAAAGGCUCACCAAGGCGACGAUCCGUAGCAGGUCUGAGAGGAUGAUCUGCCACACUGGAACUGAGACACGGUCCAGACUCCUACGGGAGGCAGCAGUGGGGAAUUUUGGACAAUGGGGGCAACCCUGAUCCAGCCAUGCCGCGUGAGUGAAGAAGGCCUCGGU